rnacentral:rRNA from 1 species
AGUGAACGCUGGCGGUAGGCCUAACACAUGCAAGUCGAACGGCAGCACAGUAAGAGCUUGCUCUUACGGGUGGCGAGUGGCGGACGGGUGAGGAAUACAUCGGAAUCUACUUUUUCGUGGGGGAUAACGUAGGGAAACUUACGCUCAUACCGCAUACGACCUACGGGUGAAAGCAGGGGAUCUUCGGACCUUGCGCGAUUGAAUGAGCCGAUGUCGGAUUAGCUAGUUGGCGGGGUAAACGCCCACCAAGGCGACGAUCCGUAGCUGGUCCGAGAGGAAGAUCCACCACACCUGAACUGAAAACCCGUCCCAACUCCCUCGGGAAGCCACAAUUGGGAAAUAUCGACAAUUGGCGCAAGCCUCAUCCCACCAAACCCCGGUGGGGAAGAAAGCCCUUCGGUUGGAAAGCCCUUUUGUUGGGAAAGAAAAGCAGCAGGUUAAUACCCCGCUGUUCUGACGGUACCCAAAGAAUAAGCACCGGCUAACUUCGUG